UACGAAGGGGGCUAGCGUUGUUCGGAAUUACUGGGCGUAAAGCGCGCGCAGGCGGCUAUCCAAGUCAGUGGUGAAAGCCCGGAGCUCAACUCCGGAACUGCCAUUGAAACUGUUUAGCUUGAGGACGAGAGAGGUGAGUGGAAUUCCCAGUGUAGAGGUGAAAUUCGCAGAUAUCAGGAGGAACACCGAUGGCGAAGGCAGGUCUCUGGGCAUUAACUGACGCUGAGGAGCGAAAGCAUGGGGAGCGAACAGG
rnacentral:rRNA from 1 species